UGUCUGUUCGCUCUUUUCUUUUUUAUUUGGUUAGGUUCAGUUUGGUAUAGUGAUAUAGUUUUUGCUCAUUAGUUGUAAAUGGUUAUAUGUUGAUUGUGAAAUCUUGAUUUGUAUCGAUUGUUCUCCUUACGUACCAUGAUGAUUUGCCCUUGUAAUUGGUGGGGAACACAUUGGAUUCUUUCGAGUUUGGUGUCUAGCAGUGUAGUUUGAUUUAUUUGGACCCAACUUCGGACCUUCUUUCUUGUUGUCUAGCAUAGAGUUGCUCUUUGUUAAUUAUAUGAUUAUACACUUGUGUCCCGCGAUGCUGUAGGUAGGGGAGCUAUAUACCAAUCGGUUGUUUGCCCAAUGGGAUCCAUUGCAUACGAUAGCUGUGUGGGCUCUAUUUAGUAUGGUUUAAUUAUAGUUUAGUGUUUUGGAUCUCUCAAAGGUAUAUACAUUCGCUGUUAUGUUAGGGGUUUAGGCUGCAUCAUGGUGGUAGCAACCUUAUUGUUAGUUGAUUUGUAUUUCAGUUUCUUGUUGCAUUUUGCUGGAUGACUGGCAGUUGGGUUUCUAUAUGCUUUCUGACGGGAACAUGCAGACUGUUUUGGGUGAGACUGUGAAGUCUUAGUUUGUAAUGAUUAUUUUCCUUUGGUACCAUGGUGAUUGGUCCUUGCUGGAGGUGGCACACAUGGAGCCGUUUCGAGUUUUUUAUUUUGCAGUGUGGUUUGAUUUAUCUGGAUUCAACUUUGGACCUUUCUUGUUGGCCAGCCUAGAGUUGCUCUUUUAUAAUUAUAUGAUGAUACUAUUACGGUCUGGCGUUGCUGUAGGUGGGGGAGCUAUAUAUCAAUUGGUGGUUUGCUUAAUGGGCUCCAUGGCAUACGGCUGCUGGGUGGGCUCCAUUUGGUAUGUCUAAAUUAUAGUGAAGUGUUAUGGAUCUCGCUGAUGUAUAUACAUUGGUUGUUGUUAUGUUAGGGGAUUUGGCUGCAUCAUGUUGCUAGCAACCAUAAUUUUUGUUGAUUUGUAUUUGAGUUUCCUGUAGCAUUUUUGUUGGGUGGCUGGUGGUUAGGUUUCUAUAUGCUUUCUUGCUGGAAGAUAUGUGGACAAUAUGACGUGUCGAGAGUGCCAAGACCAUUCAAAUGUCAGAAACAUGUGUACCAUUUAUGGAGCUCUGUUGAAUGGGCACAAGUUAUCCUUGAUAUCUUUGAAUAUCAAUUUUAUCGAUGAUACACUCUCUAUUGGCUUUCUGCCUGAUCUUAUGAGGUGUGUAGGUAGUUCCAUCCUUGGGGUCUCUAACAGUGACUCUUCUGGACCAGAAGCGCCAACACAAAUGGAUUGGGGUUUGGUGCACGUGGUUAUUAAUUGAGAUCCGGUUGCAAAAGAUGGUUCGAUCUGUAUCUUGCCUUUACCUAUUUGACUUGAAGUUGUCUGAGUUGUCUAGUGUUGGAUUGAUUCUUCCAGCGACCUUUUGGUUUCAGAUGGAAUGAGCAUGAAAAGUUACCUGAGAUAUUUAUUUAUUGGAUUUUCAGAGAUCAGAGGUGGAAGAGAAGGGAUAUGGUGAUGUUGUCCGUUCUCUCUUGACUUUUUUAUGGGUCGGGAUCAGUUUGGUUCAAUGUUAUAAUUUUUGCUCAUUGGUUGUAAAUGUUUAUAUGUUGAUUGUGAAAUCUUGAUUUGUAUUGAUUGUUCCCCUUAGAUAGCAUGAUAAACACAUUGGACUGUUUCGAGUUUGUUGUCUAGCAGUGUGGUUUAUUUUAUUUGCACCCAACUUUUGAACUUCUUUCUCAACUUUUGAACUUCUUUCUUCUUGUCUAGCCUAGAGUUGCUCUUAGUUAAUUAUAUCAUUAUAUGCUUGUGUCCCUCGAUGCUGUAGGUGGGGGAGCUAUAUAUCAAUCAGUUGUAUGCCCAAUGGGAUCCCUUGCAUACGGCUGCUGUGUCGGCUCAAUUUAGUAAGGUUUAAUUAUAGUUUAGUGCCUUGGAUUUCUCAAAGGGUAUGCAUUGGCUGUUAUGUUAGGGGUUUAGGCUGCAGCAUGGUGGUAGCAACCAUGUUGUUAGUUGAUUUGUAUUUCAGUUUCUUGUUUCAUUUUGCUAGAUGACUGGCGGUUGGUUUUCUCUAUGCUUUCUGACUGGAACAAGCGAACAGUUUGAGGUGAUGGGAGCGCCGGGAACAUCGUUUAGCAUUUAUAGUGCUAUGAUGAAGGGUCGUAAGUUAUUCGUGAUCUCUUUGGAUGUCAAUUUCAUUGAUGAUACAUUCUAUAUUGGUUAUCUGUCUGAUCUACAAGGUGUCUUGGUAGCUGCGUGUUUGGUGUAUGUUACAGUGAACUCUCCAUUGGUGGACCAGGAGCGCCAACACACAAGGAAUGUGGACGGGUACAUUAAUUUGUUAAUUGAGAACUGGUUGCAAAGUGAAAGAUGGUUUGAUCUGUGCCCCGUGUCCUGACCUUUCAUGUGAAUUGUAGUUUUUUGAGUUUAGUGUUGGAUUGAUUUAUACAUUCUUUUAGUCACCGUUUGGUCUGAGAUAUAAAGAGGAUAAAAAGAUAACUGAGAUAUGCAUUUUUUGGUUUUUCAGAUAUUGGAGGUGUGGAAUAAAGGGGAUUUGGUGGUUUUGUUCUUUCACUCUUUAAUUUUUUAUUGGCGGUUCCUUUUAUUCAAGAUUUUGUUUAGUUGAGCACCUAUAGGAGCUGUUGUAUAUUGGUCCAUCAUUAUACUCGAUGCUAUUCUCUCUCUUUAAAUAAGCUCUUUGCAAUAUGUUGUUUUUGUUACUUUGGUAUCUGGGCUUUACCUCUUUAUUCUAUGUUUAUUUUGUUUUCCUUGAGAUUUGUGUUUGUAUAGUUUGAUUAUCAUCUUUGGCUUCAGUACAUUUUGUUAUAUGUUUUUUUUUUAUUUGUGAAUGUGAAUUCUUAGUUUGCAUUGAUUAUUCUCCUUAGGUACCAUGGUGAUUGGUCCUUGCAAACGGCGCGGUACACAUGGAGCCGUUUCGAGUUUGUUAUUUAACAGUGUGGUUUGAUUUAUCUAGAUUCAACUUUGGACCUUUCUUGUUGGGUAACCUAGAGUUGCUCUUGUAGCCUGGCGAUGCUAUAGGUGGGGGAGCUAUUUAUCAUUUGAUGGUAUGCUUAAUGGGCUCCAUGGCAUACGGAUGCUGGGUGGGCUCCAUUUGGUAUGUCUAAAUUAUAGUGUAGUGUUAUGGAUCUCUCAGAUGUAUAUACGUUGGCUGUUGUUAUGUUAGGGGUUUUGGCUGCAUCAUGUUGCUAGCAACCAUAUUUUUAGCUGAUCUAUAUUUGAGUUUUCUGUAGCAUUUUAUUGGGUGGCUGGCUGUUAGGUUUUUAUAUGUUUUCUUUUCAGAAGAUAACUGGACAGUAUGAGGUGAUGAGAGUGCCAAGAACAUUUAAAUAUCAGAAACAUGUGUACCAUUUAUGUAGCUUUUCUAGUGUUGGAUUGAUUCUUCCAGCGAUCUUUUGCUUUCAGAUGGAAUGAGCAUGAACAGUUACCUGAGAUAUUUAUAGGAUUUUCCUAUAGCAUUUUAUUGGGUGCCUGGCACUUAAGUUUCUAUAUGCUUUCUUGCAGUAAGAUAUGUGAAGAGCAUGAGGUGAUGAGAGUGCCAAGAACAUUCAAAUAUAUGAAACAUGUAUACCUUUUAUGGAGCUCUGUUGAAUGAGCGUAAGUUAUGCUUGAUUUCUUUCGAUGUCAAUUUCAUGACUGAUACACUCUCUAUUAGCUUUCUGCCUUAUCUAUGAGUUGUGUAGGUAGUUCCAUCCUUGGGGUUUGUGACAGUGACUCUUCUGGACAAGAAGCGCCAACAUAAAUGGAAUGGGGUCGGGUGCACAUGGUUAUUAAUUGAGAUGUGGUUGCAAAAGACGGUUUGAUCUGCCUCUUGCCCUGCCCUAUUUGACUUGCAGUUGUCUGAGUUGUCUAGUGUUGGAUUGAUUCUUCCAGUGACCUUUUGGUUUCAGAUGGUAUGAGCAUGAAAAGUUAACUGAGAUAUUAAUUUGUUGGAUUUUCAGAGAUCGGAGGUGGAAGAGAAGGGAUAUGGUGAUGUUGUCUGUUUGCUCUUUACUUUUUUGUUGUUCGGGAUUAGUUUGGUACAGUGAUAUAGUUUUUGCUCAUUGGUUGUAAAUGUUUAUAGGUUGAUUGUGAAAUCUUGAAUUGUAUUGAUUGUUCUCCUUAGGUACCGGGAUGAUUUGUAAUCAGUGGGGAACACAUUGGACUGUUUCGAGUUUGUUGUCUAGCAGUGUGGUUUGAUUUAUUUGGACCCAACUUUGGACCUUCUUUCUUGUUGUCUAGCCUAGAGUUGCUCUUUGUUAAUUAUAUGAUUAUACGCUUGUGUCUCAAGAUGCUGUAGGCGGGGGAGCUAUAUAUCAAUCGGUUGUUUGCCCAAUGGUAUCCAUUGCAUACGGCUGCUGUGUGGGCUUUAUAUUAUAUGGUUUAAUUAUAGUUUAGUGUUAUGGAUCUCUCAAAGGUAUAUACAUUGGCUGUUAUGUUGGGGGUUUAGGCUGCAUCAUGGUGGUUACAACCAUAUUGUUAGUUGAUUUGUAUUCCAGGUUGUUGUUGCAUUUUUCUUGAUGACUGGCUGUUGGGUUUGUUUAUGCUUUCUGACUGGAACAUGCGGACUGUUACAUGCGGACUGUUUGAGGUGACGGGAGUGCUAGGAACAUCGUUUACCAUUAUAGAGCUCUGGUGAAUGGUCGUAAGUUAUCUUCGAUAUCUUUGGAUGUCAAUUUCAUUGAUGAUACAUUCUAUAUUUGUUUACUGCCUGAUCUACGAGGUGUCAGGGUAGCUCCGUCUUUGGUGUCUGUAAUAGUGAACUCUCCUGUGGUGGACCAGCAGCACCAACUCAUAUGGAUUGGGGACGGGUACAUUGGGUUGUUAAUUGAGAACUGGAUGCAAUGUGAAAGAUGGUUUGAUCUUUGCCUCUUGUCCUGACCUUUCAUGUGAAUUGUAGUUUUUCGAGUUUAGUGUUGGUUUGAUUUAUAUGUUCUUUAAGUGACCGUUUGGUUUGAGAUAGAAAGUGGAUCUAAAGUCAAUUGAGAUAUGCAUUUUUUGUUUUUUCAUAUAUUUGAGGUGUGGAAUAGAUGGGAUUUGGUGGUGUUGUCCAUUCACUCUUUACUGUUUUAUUGGUGGUUCCUUUUAUUUAGGAUUUUCUUUAGUGGAGCUCCGAUAGGAGCUGUUGUAUGUUCGUCUAUCACAAUACUCGAUGCUAUUCUUUCACUUUAAUUAACCACUUGACAAUAUGUUGUGUUUGUUAGUUUGCUAUUUGGGCGUUACCUCUUUAUUCUUUGUUUAUUUGGUUUUCCUUGAGAUUUGUGUUUGCAUAGUUUGAUUGUCAUCUUUGUCUUCAGCAUAGUUUGUUAUCUUUUCUUUUCGAUUUUUGAUUGUGAAGUCUUAGUUUGCAAUGAUUCUUCUCCUUAGGUACUAUGGUGAUUGGUCCUUUCAGACAGUGGCACACAUGGGGCAGUUUCGAGUUUGUAUUCUAGCAGUGUUGUUUGAUUUAUCUGGAUUCAACUUUGGACCUCUCUUGUUGGCUAGCCUAAAGUUGAUCUUUUCUAAUUAUAUGAUGAUACUUUUGCGGCCUGGCGAUGCUUUAGGUGGGCGAGCUAUAUAUCUAUUGGUUGUUUGCUUAACGGGCUCCAUGGCAUAUGGCUGUUGGGUGGGCUCCAUUUGGUCAUUUUAUAUUAUAGUGAAGUGUUAUGGAUCUCUCAAAUGUAUAUACGUAUGCUGUUGUUAUGUUAGGGGUUUUGGCUGCAUCAUGUUGCUAGCAACCAUAUUUUUAGCUGAUCAGUAUUUGAGUUUCCUGUAGCAUUUUUUUGGGCGACUGGCAGUUAGGUUUCUCUAUGCUUUCUUGCUGGAAAAUAUGUGGACAGUAUGAGGUGACGAGAGUGCCAAGAACAUUCAAAGAUCAGAAACAUGUGUACCAUUUAUGGAGCUUUGUUGAAUGGGUGUAAGUUAUGCUUGAUUUCUUCGAAUGUCAAUUUCUUGUAUGAUACACAACUGGAAUGGGUCGGGUGCACAUGGUUUUUAAUUGAGAUCUGGUUUCAAGAGAUGGUUUGAUCUGCCUCUUGCCUUGUCCUAUUCGACUUGCAGUUGUCUGAGUUGUCUAGUGUUGUAUUGAUUCUUCCAGCUACCUUUUGGUUUCGGAUGGAAUGAGCAUGAAAAGUUACCUGAGAUAUUUAUUUAUUGGAUUUUCAGAGAUCAGAGGUGGAAAGGAAGGGAUAUGGUGAUGUUGUCCGUUCUCUCUUUGCUUUUUUAUUGGUCGGGAUCAGUUUGGUACAGUGAUAUCGUUUUUUCUCACUGGUUGUAAAUGUUUAUAUGCUGAUUGUGAAAUCUUUAUUUGUAUUGAUUGUCCUGCAUAGGUACCAUGAUGAUUUGCCCUUGUAAUCGGUGGGGAACACAUUAGACUGUUUCGAGUUUGUAAUCUAGCAGUGUGGUUUGAUUUAUUUGGACCCAACUAUGGACCUUCUUUCUUGUUGUCUAGCCUAGAGUUGCUCUUUGUUAAUUAUAUGAUUACACGCUUGUGUUCCGCGAUGCUGUAGGUGGAGGAGCUAUUUGUUGAUCGGUUUGGCCAAUGGGAUCCAUUGCAUACGACUGCUGUGUGGGUUUUAUUUAGUAUGGUUUAAUUAUAGUUUAGUGUUAUGGAUCUCUCAAAGGUAUAUACAUUGGCUGUUAUGUUGGGGGUUUAGGCUGCAUCAUGGUGGUUGCAACCAUAUUGUUAGUUGAUUUGUAUUCCAGUUUGUUGUUGCAUUUUUCUUGAUGACUGGCAGUUGGGUUUCUUUAUGCCUUCUGACUGGAACAUGCGGACUGUUACAUGCGGACUGUUUGAGGUGACGGGAGUGCUAGGAACAUCAUUUUCCAUUUAUAGAGCUCUGAUGAAAGGUCGUAAGUUAUCCUUGAUCUCUUUGGAUGUCAAUUUCAUUGAUGAUACAUUCUAUAUUUGUUUUCUGCCUGAUCUACGAGGUGUCAGGGUAGCUCCGUCUUUGGUGUCUGUAAUAGUGAACUCUCCUGUGGUGGACCAGCAGCACCAACUCAUAUGGAUUGGGGACGGGUACAUUGGGUUGUUAAUUGAGAACUGGAUGCAAACUGAAAGAUGGUUUAAUCUGUGCCUCUUGCCUUAAUCUUUCAUGUGAAUUGUAGUUUUUUGAGUUUAGUGUUGGUUUGAUUGAUACGUUCUUUUAGUCACUGUUUGGUUUGAGAUGGAAAGAGGAUAAAAAGUCAUCUGAGAUAUGCAUUUUUUUGUUUUUCAGAUAUUGGAGGUGUGGAAUAAGGGGAUUUGGUGGUGUUGUCCAUUAACUCUUUACGUUUUUAUUGGUGGUUCCUUUUUUUCAGGAUUUUCUUUAGAUGAGCUCCUGUAGGAGCUGUUGUAUAUUGAUCCAUCACUAUACUCGAUGCUAUUCUCUCUCUCUAAAUAAGCUCUUUAAACUAUUAUGUGUUUGUGAUUGUGAAGUCUGAGUUUGCAAUGAUUAUUCUCCUUAGGUACAAUGGUGAUUGUCCUUGCAUGGGGCCGUUUCGAGUUUGUUGUCUAGCAGUGUGGUUUGAUUUAUCUGGAUUCAACUUUGGACCUUUCUUUUUGGUUAGCCUAGAGUUGCUCUUAGUUAAUUAUAUGAUGAUACUCUUUCGGCUUGGCGAUGCUGUAGGUGGGGGAGCUAUAUAUGAAUUGAUGGUCUCCUUAAAGGGCUCCAUGAUAUUCGGCUGCUGGGUGGGCUCCAUUUGGUAUGUCUAAAUUAUAGUGAAGUGUUAUGGAUCUCUCAGAUGUAUAUACGUUGGCUGUUGUUAUGUUAGGGGUUUUGGCUGCAUCAUGUUGCUAGCAACCAUAUUUAUAGCUGAUCUGUAUUUGAGUUUCCUGUAGCAUUUUAUUGGGUGGUUGGCAGUUAAGUUUCUAUAGGCUUUCUUUCUGGAAGAUAUGCGGACAGUAUGAGGUGACGAGAGUGCCAAGAACAUUCAAAUAUCAGAAACAUGUGUACCAUUUAUGGAGCUCUGUUGAAUGAGCAUAAGUUAUACUUGAUAUCUUUGGAUGUCAUUUUCAUGUAUAAUGCACUCUAUUGGCUUUCUUCCUGAUCUAUGAGGUGUGUAGGUAGUUCCAUCCUUGGGGUCUGUAACAGUGAGUAUUCUGGACCAAUAACCCCAACUCAAAUGAAAUGGGGUCGGGUUCACAUGGUUAUUAAUUGAGUUCUGGUUGCAAAAGAUGGUUUGAUCUGCCUCUUGCCUUGACCUAUUUGAUUUGCAGUUGUCUGGUGUUGGAUUGAUUCUUCCAGCGGCCUUUUGGUUUCAGAUGGAAUGGCAUGAAAAUUUAUACCUAAGAUAUUUAUUUAUUGGAUUUUCUGCGAUUGGAGGUUGAAGAGAAGGGAUAUGAUGAUGUUGUCUGUUCUCUCUUUGCUUUUUAUUGGACGGGAUCAGUUUGGUACAGUGUUGUGGCUUUUGCUCAUUGGUUGUAAAUGUUUAUCUGUUGAUUGUGAAAUCUUAAUUUGUAUUAAUUGUUCUCCUUAGGUACCAUGAUGAUUUGCCCUUGUAAUCGGUGAGGAGCACAUUGGACUAUUUCGAGUUUGUUGUCUAGCAGUGUGGUUUGAUUUAUUUGGACCCAACUUUGGACCUUCUUUCUUGUUUUCUAGCCUAGUGUUGCUCUUAUUUAAUUAUAUGUUUAUAUGCUUGUGUCCCGCGAUGCUGUUGGUUUCGGAGCUAUAUAUCAUUCGGUUUUUUUCCGAAUGGGAUCCAUUGCAUUCGGCUGGUGUGUGGGCUCUAUUUAGUUUGGUUUAAUUUAAGCCUAGCGUUUUGGAUCUCUCAAAUGCAUAUAGAUUGGCUGUUUUGUUGGGGGUUUAGGCUGCAUCAUGGUGGUAACAACCAUUUGGUUAGUUGAUUUGUAUUUCAGUUUGUUGUUGCAUUUUUCUCGACGAUUGGCAGUUGGGUUUCUCUAUGCUUUCUGACUGGGACAUGCGGAUUGUUUGAGUUGACAGCAGUGCUAGGAACAUCGUUUACCAUUUAUAGAGCUGUGAUAAAUGGUCGUAGGUUAUCCUUGAUCUCUUUGGAUGUCAAUUUCAUUGAUGAUAUAUUCUAUAUUGGUUUUCUGCCUGAUCUAUGAGGUGUUUGGGUAGCUCCGUCUUUGGUGUUUGUAACAGUGAACUCUCCAGUGGUGGACCAGGAGCUCUAACACACAUGGAAUGGGGACGGGUACAUUGGGUUGUUAAUUGAGAACUGGAUGCAAAGUGAAAGAUGGUUUGAUCUGUGCCUCUUGUCCUGACCUUUCAUGUGAAUUGUUGUUUUUUUAGUUUUGUGUUGGUUUGAUUUAUACGUUCUUUUAGUCACCGUUUGGUUUGAGAUGGAAAGAGGAUCAAAAGUCAACUGAGAUAUACAUUUUUUGGUUUUUCAGAUAUUGGAGAUGUGGAUUUGGUGGUGCUGUCCAUUCACUCUUUACUUUGUUAUUGGUGGUUCCUUUUAUUCAAGAUUUUCUUAAGUUGAGCCCUGUAGGAGCUGUUGUAUAUUGGUCCAUCACUAUACUCGAUGCUAUUCUCUCUCUUUAAUUAAGCUCUUGACACUAUGUUUUGCUUGUUACUUUGGUAUCUGGGCGUUACCUAUUUAUUCUAUGUUUAUUUUGUUUGCCUUGAGAUUUGUGUUUGUAUAAUUUGAUUGUCAUCUUUGGCUUCAGUACAUUUUGUAAUCUGUUUUUUUUUCGUGAUUCUGUAGUCUUAGUUUGCAAUGAUUAUUCUCCUUAGGUACCAUGGUGAUUGGUCCUUGCAGACAGUGGCACACAUGGGGCCGUUUCGAGUUUGUUGUCUAGCAGUGUGGUUUGAUUUAUCUGGAUUCAACUUUGGACCUUUCUUGUUGGCUAGCUUAGAGUUGCUCUUUGUUAAUUAUAUGAUGAAACUCUUACGGCCAGGCGAUGUUGUUGGUGGGGGAGCUAUAUAUGAAUUGGUAGUUUGCUUAAUGGGCUCCAUGGCAUACGGCUGCUGGGUGGGCUCCGUUUGGUAUAUCUAAAUUAUUGUGAAGUGUUAUGGAUCUCUCAGAUGUAUAUACAUUGGCUGUUGUUAUGUUAGGGGUUUUGGCUGCAUCAUGUUGCUAGCAACCAUAUUUUUAGCUGAUCUGUAUUUGAGUUUUCUGUAGCAUUUUGUUGGGUGGCUGGCAGUUAAGUUUCUAUAUGCUUUCUUGCUGAAAGAUACGCGGACAGUAUGAGGUGACGAGAGUGCCAAGAUCAUUCAAAUAUCAGAAACAUUUGUACCAUUUAUGGAGCUCUGUUGAAUGGGUGUAAGUUAUCCUUGAUAUCUUUGGAUGUUAAUUUCAUGGAUGAUGCACUCUAUUGGCUUUCUGCCUGAUCUAUGAGGUGUGUAUGUAGUUCCAUCCUUAGGGUCUGUAACAGCGAGUCUUCUUGACUAAUAGCACCAAUACAAAUGGAAUGGGUCAGGUGCACAUGGUUUUUAAUUGAGAUCUGGUUGCAAACGAUGGUUUGAUCUGCCUCUUGCCUUGACCUAUUUGACUUGCUGUUGUCUGAGUUGUCUACUGUUGGAUUGAUUCUUCUAGCGACCUUUUGGUUUCAAUUGGAAUGGGCAUGAAAAGUUAUACUUGAGAUAUUUAUUUAUUGCGUUUCGGCGAUCGGAGGUGGAUGUUGUCCGAUCUCUUUUUACUUUUUAUUGGUUUGGAUCAAUGUGGUACAGUGUUAUUGCUUUUGCUCAUUGGUUGUAAAUGUUUAUAUGAUGAUUGUGAAAUCUUGAUUUGUAAUGAUUGUUCUCCUUGGGUACCAUUUUUUUUUUUUUCAGAUAUUGGAGAUGUGGAAUAAUGGGGAUUUGGUGUUGUUGUCCAUUCACUCUUUACUUUGUUAUUGGUGGUUUUUUUUAUUCAAGAUUUUCUUUAGUUGAGCUCCCGUAGGAGCUGUUGUAUAUUGGUCCAUCACUAUACUCGAUGCUAUUCUCUCUUUAAAUGAGCUCUUGACACUAUGUUUUUUUUGUUACUUUGGUAUCUGGGCAUUACCUAUUUAUUCUAUGUUUAUUUUGUUUUCCUUGCGAUUUGUGUUUGUAUAGUUUGAUUAUCAUCUUUGGCUUCAGUACAUUUUGUAAUCUGUUUUUUUUUUUUUUGGUGAUUGUGAAGUCUUAGUUUGCAAUUACUAUUCUCCUUUGGUACCAUGGUGAUUGGUCCUUGCUGACAAUGGCACACAUGGGACCGUUUCGAGUUUGUUGUCUAGCAGUGUGGUUUUAUUUAUCUAGAUUCAACUUUGGACCUUUCUUGUUGGCUAGCCUAGAGUUGCUCUUUGUUAAUUAUAUGAUGAUACUCUUUACGCCCUGGCGAUGCUGUAGGUGGGGGAGCUAUAUAUGAAUUGGUAGUUUGCUUAAUGGGCUCCAUGGCAUACGGCUGCUGGGUGGGCUCCAUUUGGUAUGUCUAAAUUAUAGUGAAGUGUUAUGGAUCUCUCAGAUGUAUAUACGUUGGCUGUUGUUAUGUUAGGGGUUUUGGCUGCAUCAUGUAGCUAGCAACCAUAUUUUUAGCUGAUCUGUAUUUGAGUUUCUUGUAGCAUUUUGUUGGGUGGCUGGCAGUUAAGUUUUUAUAUGCUUUCUUGCUGAAAGAUAUGCAGACAGUAUGAGGUGACGAGUGUGCCAAGAACAUUCAAAGAUCAGAAACAUGUGUACCAUUUAUGGAGCUCUGUUGAAUGGGCGUAAGUUAUCCUUGAUAUCUUUGGAUUUCAAUUUCAUGGAUGAUGCACUCUAUUGGCUUUCUGCCUGAUCUAUGAGGUGUGUAUGUAGUUCCAUCCUUGGGGUCAGUAACUGUAAGUCUUCUGUACUAAUAGCGCCAAUACAAAUGGAAUGGGUCGGGUGCACAUGGUUAUUAAUUGAGAUCUGGUUGCAAACGAUUGUUUGAUCUGCCUUUUGCCUUGACCUAUUUGACUUGCAGUUGUCUGAGUUGUCUAGUGUUGGAUUGAUUCUUCCAGCGACCUUUUGGUUUCAGAUGGAAUGGGCAUGAAAAGUUGUACGUGAGGUAUUUAUUUAUUGGAUUUCAGCAAUCGGAGGUGGAAGAGAAGGGAUAUGGUGAUGUUGUCCGUUCUCUCUUUACUUUUUAUUGGUUUGGAUCAAUGUGGUACAGUGUUAUUGCUUUUGCUCAUUGGUUGUAAAUGUUUAUAUGAUGAUUGUGAAAUCUUGAUUUGUAUUGAUUGUUCUCCUUAGGUUCCUUGAUGAUUUGCCCUUGUAAUGGGUGGGGAACACAUAUUGAUUGUUCUCCUUAGGUGGGGGAGCUAUAUAUCAAUCGGUUUUUAUCCCCAAUGGGAUCCAUUGCAUUCGGCUGCUGUUUGGGCUCUAUUUAGUAUGGUUUAAUUUAAGUUUAGUGUUUUGGAUCUCUCAAAGGUAUAUACAUUGGCUGUUAUGUUGGGGGUUUAGGCUGCAUCAUGGUGGUUACAACCAUAUUGUUAGUUGAUUUGUAUUCCAGUUUGUUGUUGCAUUUUUCUUGAUGACUGGCAGUUGGGUUUCUUUAUGCUUUCUGACUGGAACAUGCGGACUGUUUGAGGUGACGGGAGUGCUAGGAACAUCAUUACCAUUUAUAGAGCUCUGAUGAAAGGUAGUUAGUUAUCCUUGAUCUCUUUGGAUGUCAAUUACAUUGAUGAUACAUUCUAUAUUGGUUUUCUGCCUGAUCUACGAGGUGUCAGGGUAGCUCUGUCUUUGGUGUCUGUAAUAGUGAACUCUCCUGUGGUGGACCAGCAGCACCAACUCAUAUGGAUUGGGGACGGGUACAUUGGGUUGUUAAUUGAGAACUGGAUGCAAAGUGAAAGAUGGUUUGAUCUGUGCCUCUUGCCUUAACCUUUCAUGUGAAUUGUAGUUUUUUGAGUUUAGUGUUUUGUUGAUUGAUAUGUUCUUUUAGUCACUGUUUGGUUUGAGAUGGAAAGAGGAUCAAAAGUCCACUGAGAUAUGCAUUUUUUGGUUUUUCAGAUGUUGGAGGUGUGAAAUAAAGUGGAUUUGGUGGUGUUGUCCAUUCACUCUUUACUUUUUUAUUGGUGGUUCCUUUUAUACAGGAUUUGCUUUAGUUAUGCUCCUGUAGGAGCUGUUGUAUAUUUGUCCAUCAUUAUACUCGAUGUUAUUCUCUCUCUUUAGAUAACCUAUGUUGUGUUUGUUACUUUGGUAUCUGGGCGUUACCUCUUUAUUCUAUGUUUAUUUUGUUUUCUUUGAGAUUUGUGUUUGUAUAGUUUGAUUAUCAUCUUUGGCUUCAAAAACCUUUUAUUAUCAGUUUUUUUUGAUUUGUGAUUGUGAAGUCUUAGUUUGCAAUGAUUAUUCUCCUAAGGUACCAUAGUGAUCGGUCCUUGUAGAUGGUGGCACGCAUGGGGCUGUUUCGAGUUUGUCGUCAAACAGUAUGGUUUGAUUUAUCUGGAUUCAACUUUGGACCUUUUUUGUUGGCUAGCGCUCUUUGUUAAUUAUAUGAUGAUACUCUUACGGCCUGGCGAUGCUGUAGGUGGGGGAGCUAUAUAUGAAUUGGUAGUUUGCUUAAUGGGCUCCAUGGCAUACGGCUGCUGGGUGGGCUCCAUUUGGUAUGUCUAAAUUAUAGUGAGGUGUUAUGGAUCUCUCAGAUGCAUAUACGUUGGCUGUUGUUAUGUUAGGGGUUUUGGCUGCAUCAUGUUGCUAGCAACCAUAUUUUUAGCUGAUCUGUAUUUGAGUUUCUUGUAGCAUUUUGUUGGGUGGCUGGCAGGUAAGUUUCUAUAUGCUUUCUUUCUGGAAGAUAUGCAGACAGUAUGAGGUGACGAGAGUGCCAAGAACAUUAAAAGAUGAGAAACAUGUGUAUCAUUUAUGGAGCUCUGUUGAAUGGGUUGUAAGUUAUCCUUGAUAUCUUUGGAUGUCAAUUUCAUGGAUGAUACACUCUAUAUUGGCUUUCUGCCUGAUGUAUGUGGUGUGUAGGUAUUUCCAUCUUUGGUGUCUGUAACAGUGACUCUUCUGGACCCGAAGUGCCAACACAAAUGGAAUGGGGUCGGGUGCACAUGGUUAUUAAUUGAGAUCUGGUUGCAAAACAUGGUUUGAUCUGCCUCUUGCCCUGACCUAUUUGCCUUGCAGUUGUCUGAGUUUUUUAGUGUUUGAUUGAUUCUUUUAGCGACCUUUUGGUUUCUUAUGGAGUGAGCAUUAAAAGUUACCUGAGAUAUUUAUUUAUUGGAUUUUCGGAGAUCGGAGGUGGAAGAGAAGGGAUAUGGUGAUGUUGUUUGUUCUCUCUUUACUUAUUCAUUGGUUGGGAUCAGUUUGGUUCAGUGAUUUACUUUUUGCUCAUUGGUUGUAAACGUUUAUAUGUUGAUUGUGAAAUCUUGAUUUGUAUUGAUUGAUCUCCUUAGGUACCUUGGUGAUUUGCCCUUGUAAUCGGUGGUGAACACAUUGGACCGUUUUAAAUUAGUUGUCUAUUAGUGUGGUUCGAUUUUUCUGGGCUCAACAUUGGACCUUCUUUCUUGUUGUGUAGCUUAGAGUUGUUCUAUGUUAAUUGUCUGAGUCAACAUGGAUAGAUGAAUGAAUUCCAUGAUUUAUAAGAUAUAAAUGAUUUAUAGGAUAUUCUUUUACUUAUUUGGCCAUAGCAUCCUUUAUCUCCUGGUCCAUCACUCCACAACAUGUUGUUUUUGUCUCUGAAGAUCCAACACUCUACUUCAUGGUGUAUUUUGCUCUUUUCCUCAUUCAGGCUUCUUGUUUUCUAGUCUCUGGACUAUCACUCUUUGUCAUGUUUAUUAUGUUUUGAAGAGAUACUGGUGUGCCCAGCGAUGGUUAUCUUGCCAUCAUUAUUCAUCCAUGAUUUGAGACAUGAAUCUACCGAGGUUUUGAAGGUGAAUUGAGAUUGUAGCAUAGUUUUUAUUGAAAUUCAGAUCCAUAUCCAAUUUCAAGUAUUGGUGAUACCUCAUCUUAUUGGCUUCUUGGCUGGUUGUUUCCUAGUCACGCUUCUUAGCAGUAUUGGCCUCUCUAUUUGUUUGUAUAAGUUGCUUGAGCUUGGUGGUCGCUGUCCUUGUGACAGGUUUUCAGGAACCAUUUGAGCAAGAUAUGUUAACUGAAACAUGGAUGGUGUUGCCUUUGUGUGGGUUCAGGUUUUUACAUGUUUUAGUUUGAUGAUAUUUUUUUGCAGAUCAGUUGAUCUUUGACGUUUUGUGAUUAUAAUUAUGGUGUAAUUUUUGGAGGAAAUUAUAAUUCCUGUAUUUGCUUUUGUGUUCUGAUUUGUUUGGGUUUCUUAAUCUUCUACUCAAAUUUAUGAAGUUUGUAUUUAUGCUUCAAUUUGUGUUCAGUGUGUACUCGUAUCCUUACCAGAUUGUGCAUUCAAAGGAUCUACUUUAUGUAAGAUGAUCAACUCUCUAUAAGAUGGGCCUAGUUGCAAUAGGUUACGACCUUCUAUUUUAUGGUUUAAUCGAGUCUCCCGAUUCUCUUGCCAUCUCUUUUCAAUUGUUCUCUGUUAUUCUCCUGCCAUCUCCUUUCAAUUGUUCUCUGUUAUUCUUUCUUGGUGAUUCUUUGCAGUUUAACUAGUGCUAGUGGAUUUUCAUUGCACUGCUCGAGCGGCAUUAUGAUUUUCCUCUAGGUGGUGAUGUUUUGUGAAAGAUAUUGUAGAGGUAUUCUCUUGUUGAAAAAGUAAAAAACUCGCUUAGGAAUUUUUGGUGAUUCCAGCAAGUUUUUAAUAUUUUGGAAGCCAUUCUUUUGGAAUGAAUGUUGCAUCUUAUGUUUAUUAAAAUUGCUAAAUUUAGAAAGCUAAUUUCCUAGCUAGGGAUUCGGCAAUAUUAACAUGCAUGUCUUAGAUUUUUUAGGAAUAUUAGACUUCUAAAAUGAGAGAUUCAUAAUGUUCAUGAUUUC